rnacentral:rRNA from 1 species
AUGACUGAUUUUUUUAGCGGGAUCCAAGCUGGUAUGGUUGUCAAUCGAUUAGAGAACAAUGAACAGUCGCCCGAAGAUUGGAACAGUGAUGGGGAUGGUUCAGGGGGCACAACUGGUUUGCUUGAAUCACCAUGUUUCACGUCCAGGCUUUCUGUGCUCAAAGUGGGUUCAGUCAUAAGCAAGUUUUCUGAAUUCAAGUGCCAAUUAGUCAGGGAAACUGGAUUCGAUGGAAUGCUUGAGAUAAAAUCAUGGCAGAAGAUCAACCUGAAAUACAACGCUUAUAUAAUGGAUAGAGUCGAUGUAGAUUCACGUAUAAUAAAUCUUGAGCGCCAAGGUGUUAUUGAACUAUGUGACAAGGACAUGAAUUAUGUGUUUGGCAUCCCAUGUGGCGAUUCAACCAUAGAAGGCGAGGGAGUUGAGCCGUCAGUAGCUUGCAUUGAGUAUACCCGUGCGGCAGCAUCAUUUAGUGAUAGAGGCACCCACAGCCUGAAAGCAGCAGAGGCAUACUUAAGCAGAUGCAUAGCAGAAUCAUCUACUCAAUUAGAGCAGGACUGCUUCAAAAUUGCUUUUGUUAUUUUUGUUGUUGGUCAUGUGUUGGCACCUACUGCGAAGCACGAUUAUAUAUUAAUUGAUUUCUGGGCUGCACUGAAUGAUAUCAGCAAGAUAAAGGAUUGGAAUUGGGGAGGAUACGCGUUGAAAAAUCUUUUUCAAGCUGUCAAAAAGUUCAAGGCAGAUGUUUUGAGGAGAAACCCAACCGUGCAUAUAGUUGGAUGUCAUCUGUUUCUGCAGCUUUUUGUGCUUGAUAGCCUCGAGCUGGGUGUUCUAAACAGGGCAAGAGGUGUAACCCCGCGUAUAGGCUUGUACGACUAUGAGUCGAUCAAGAAUAUGGUUGAGAAAAUUACAGUGAAUUCUGCCCCGGGCGAAGUUUCCUUUCACGGCGCACCGGUGCGGAGCGAGCUCUCCGUGAGAAACCUAAGUGUGUGUCGUCCGAAGGAAGUUUGUGCAACAAAUACACCAAAGCCCACGACAGCGCCCAAAAAGGCAAAUGCAACGUGCACACCAAUUCCACGGAAUAGCUAUGCCAAAACCGAUGCGCAAGAGUUUUCAAAUUAUAUACGAACACGCUACCCAAGCAUAUCAACGGAGAAACUCGGCGUACUUCUCCGUGAGCAGAAUGCCCGUGGGCUAGCAAAUAUUUCAGAAAUGCGUCAAGCCUUCCAGUCCAAUAUGUUCACUUUCACUGACAAGCUAAUGAUAUGCAUAGCAGAUAGCUGCACUUGUUGCAAGGCGCAUGGAAGCAAAAGGUGCAUCUUGAAGAGGGAAGACACCAACACCGACAAUGUACCUCCCAUGGCAUCAGUAGAUCAAACCCAAUUCAGCACGCCUUUAGUAAGCAAGAUUGGACCCCGAUUACCAGCACCAGGGAACCAUGAAGAUGGAGUACCUUUGAAGAUUGAUCUACCUCAAUGCAACUUUGGAAGAGACCCGUGGGUUGCUGGAUCAGUCCCAGCACCACCCAUUCCAACUGUUCUUAGGGCUAUAAGAGACUGGAUGACUGGAGCUUCCAUGCUAAACCUUGAGAGGAAAUGGAUCGUGCAUCCCAAACCAAGACUUAUAUCUCUAGAUGGUGUUGAAAUCCAUCGACAGCUUGUGCUAAAUGAUCCAAUGACCCAUGAGAUGGCCACAGCUAUUUUUCAUAGACUUGGUCAAAUUGAUAUGUUAUUCUCGAAGGACACUCCCAGACACAUAUGGAGGAAAUUUGUUGAACCAGACUUUGCGGACUAG